rnacentral:rRNA from 1 species
CCUACGGGGUGCAGCAGUGGGGAAUAUUGGACAAUGGGCGAAAGCCUGAUCCAGCCAUGCCGCGUGUGUGAAGAAGGCCUUCGGGUUGUAAAGCACUUUCAGUGGGGAAGAAAGCCUUGGGGCUAAUACCCUCGAGGAAGGACAUCACCCACAGAAGAAGCACCGGCUAACUCCGUGCCAGCAGCCGCGGUAAUACGGAGGGUGCGAGCGUUAAUCGGAAUUACUGGGCGUAAAGCGCGCGUAGGCGGUCUGAUAAGCCGGUUGUGAAAGCCCCGGGCUCAACCUGGGAACGGCAUCCGGAACUGUCAGGCUAGAGGGCAGGAGAGGAAGGUAGAAUUCCCGGUGUAGCGGUGAAAUGCGUAGAGAUCGGGAGGAAUACCAGUGGCGAAGGCGGCCUUCUGGACUGACACUGACGCUGAGGUGCGAAAGCGUGGGUAGCAAACAGGAUUAGAUACCCGAGUAGUC